rnacentral:rRNA from 1 species
AGAGCGAACGCUGGCGGCAGGCUUAACACAUGCAAGUCGAACGCUCGUAGCAAUACGGGAGUGGCAGACGGGUGAGUAACGCGUGGGAACAUGCCCUUUGGUUCGGAAUAACUCAGGGAAACUUGAGCUAAUACCGGAUAAGCCCCUUACGGGGGAAAGAUUUAUCGCCGAAGGAUUGGCCCGCGUCCGAUUAGCUAGUUGGUGAGGUAAUGGCUCACCAAGGCGACGAUCGGUAGCUGGUCUGAGAGGAUGAUCAGCCACACUGGGACUGAGACACGGGCCAGACUCCUACGGGAGGCAGCAGUGGGGAAUAUUGGACAAUGGGGGCAACCCUGAUCCAGCCAUGCCGCGUGAGUGACGAAGGCCCUAGGGUUGUAAAGCUCUUUCGACGGGGACGAUAAUGACGGUACCCGUAGAAGAAGCCCGGCUAACUUCGUGCCAGCAGCCGC